rnacentral:rRNA from 1 species
AUACGGAGGGUGCAAGCGUUAUUCGGAAUCACUGGGCGUAAAGGACACGUAGGCGGGAAGCCAAGUCUGAUGUGAAAUCCUAUGGCUCAACCAUAGAACUGCAUUGGAAACUGGUUACCUAGAGUAUGGGAGGGGGAGAUGGAAUUAGUGGUGUAGGGGUAAAAUCCGUAGAUAUCACUAGGAAUACCUAAAGCGAAGGCAAUCUCCUGGAGCAUUACUGACGCUAAGGUGUGAAAGCGUGGGGAGCAAACGGGAUUAGAAACCCUAGUAGUCC